rnacentral:rRNA from 1 species
UACGGGAGGCAGCAGUAGGGAAUCUUCCACAAUGGACGAAAGUCUGAUGGAGCAACGCCGCGUGAGUGAAGAAGGUUUUCGGAUCGUAAAACUCUGUUGUUGGAGAAGAAUGUAUCUGAUAGUAACUGAUCAGGUAGUGACGGUAUCCAACCAGAAAGCCACGGCUAACUACGUGCCAGCAGCCGCGGUAAUA